rnacentral:rRNA from 1 species
GAUGAACGCUGGCGGCGUGCCUAAUACAUGCAAGUCGAGCGAACAGACGAGGAGCUUGCUCCUCUGAUGUUAGCGGCGGACGGGUGAGUAACACGUGGAUAACCUACCUAUAAGACUGGGAUAACUUCGGGAAACCGGAGCUAAUACCGGAUAAUAUUUUGAACCGCAUGGUUCAAUAGUGAAAGACGGUUUUGCUGUCACUUAUAGAUGGAUCCGCGCUGCAUUAGCUAGUUGGUAAGGUAACGGCUUACCAAGGCAACGAUGCGUAGCCGACCUGAGAGGGUGAUCGGCCACACUGGAACUGAGACACGGUCCAGACUCCUACGGGAGGCAGCAGUAGGGAAUCUUCCGCAAUGGGCGAAAGCCUGACGGAGCAACGCCGCGUGAGUGAUGAAGGUCUUCGGAUCGUAAAACUCUGUUAUUAGGGAAGAACAAAUGUGUAAGUAACUGUGCACGUCUUGACGGUACCUAAUCAGAAAGCCACGGCUAACUACGUG